UCAGUUCUAAUUUUAUGUAUAAUUCCGGGCUUUUAACCCGAAGUAGAAGAAUAGUGCUUCAGAACGGG
rnacentral:tRNA from 1 species